rnacentral:rRNA from 1 species
UACGAAGGGGGCUAGCGUUGCUCGGAAUCACUGGGCGUAAAGCGCACGUAGGCGGGUUGCUAAGUCAGGGGUGAAAUCCUGGAGCUCAACUCCAGAACUGCCUUUGAUACUGGCGGCCUUGAGUCCGGGAGAGGUGAGUGGAACUGCGAGUGUAGAGGUGAAAUUCGUAGAUAUUCGCAAGAACACCAGUGGCGAAGGCGGCUCACUGGCCCGGUACUGACGCUGAGGUGCGAAAGCGUGGGGAGCGAACGGG